GCCCUCGUAGCUCAGGGGAUAGAGCACCGGCCUCCGGAGCCGGGUGCGCAGGUUCGAAUCCUGCCGGGGGCG
rnacentral:tRNA from 5 species